UACGUAGGGCGCGAGCGUUUGUCCGGAAUUAUUGGGCGUAAAGAGCUCGUAGGCGGCUUGUCACGUCGGGUGUGAAAGCCCGGGGCUUAACCCCGGGUCUGCAUUCGAUACGGGCUAGCUAGAGUGUGGUAGGGGAGAUCGGAAUUCCUGGUGUAGCGGUGAAAUGCGCAGAUAUCAGGAGGAACACCGGUGGCGAAGGCGGAUCUCUGGGCCAUUACUGACGCUGAGGAGCGAAAGCGUGGGGAGCGAACAGG
rnacentral:rRNA from 1 species